ensembl:lncRNA
GUCCUGGAACUUGUACCUAUUGACUGCACUAUGCAUGAGGACAUUGUCAAGCUCAAAGAGCACAUUGUGAGGCAUAUCUUAACAAAGGAUACAUUCCCAUGUGCUGAAAGGACCCUGCCCAAAAGCUACAAAGAAGUUGAGUUAGUCAUUCAUGACCUAGUGAAACAAAACCAAAUACCUCAACACGGUAAGUUAUUUAAAGUUUAAAAAAAAAUCCCUAUUGAAAGUUAAUGGCUUUUGAAUUGUAAUUUUAUAAUUAACUUUCUCAAGUUACUGAAUUGAAAUGAAAUCAACUUCAACCCUGUUAAUUGCAUUUUUCAUAAUUAUAUUAUCAAUACUGACAUAUGUCCAUGUUAGGACAGUCAAAUUGUGCUUGUCCUAAUAUCGACACAAUGAGGUAGGUACCGCAUUAUAACUAGGUCACAUUACUCUAAUCAGACAUCUCUUUUCCUCAACACCAGGAAUAGUUUCUUUUGAUGACCUUCUGAGUGACCUCAUUCUGCACCUUGAGUUGGGCGAGGAGAACGUCCACUCCAUCCUACGCUACCUCCAUCGUAUCGGCAUCAUCGUGUGGUAUGAGGAGAUCCCUGCUCUGAAGGAUAGGGUGUUCGUUCAGCCAUCUUUUCUCAUCUCACUCUUCAAGACCAUCGUGAGGCAUGACCUGGUCAAGCAGAUGGAGGCCAUCCCCAGAGACGAGCUGCGGAAAGAGGGCAACCUAUUGGUCCACCGGGGCACGUGGGUGGAUGACUUCAAGGAGAAGGGCACCCUGCACAAUGCGGCCACACGGAUCCUGGUACGCAGAGAACUGAGGCGGCUGCGACUGGACGAUGAAGACCUGGUGGAGGAGGUGGUGGGAAGUAGGACUAAGGAGGGGACGCUACUUAGCCUCCUGCAGCACUUUGAGGUCUGUCUCCCGGCUAAGGUGGGUAGUCCCCUGAACCCGGCGGCACCGGAGUUCAAACCCGGGGAGAAGCAGUGGAAGUCAUCCAACUUGGCCAGGGGUCAUCUGGACGGAGCAUGUCUCUUCCCCAGCUACCUGCAGGACAAUCAAAUGGUGGUGCAGAUGUGGGGAGAAGACAAGCUGGACGAUAUAAAUGUCUGUGUUUACUUUCUACCUGAGAUCCCUCAUGGCCUCUUCCACAGGCUGAUCAUCAAGACGUGCUCCCUGUACCCGACUCACUGGAUAGGGAAGGACCACUGCCUGCUCAGCUCUGGAGACAAACUGGUGCUGAUGAGAGAGAACAAUAAAGAUGGAGACAAUAAAGAUGGAGAUCAACACAUACAGAUUCGCUGCAAGAGACCUGAGACCAGCGAAGAGUUCCAUCGUUCUUGGGAUCUCUUCCUGUCGGUGAUGACAAAGCUAGUGGAGCUGUCUAGACAGUGGCCUGGCCUAUCCCAACAUGUCCACACCCCUUGUAAGGAGAAAGGUUGCAGAGCCUACUUCGUCUGGAGAGACUGGCAGGACCUCCCAAUCUCAGACAUAUAUGACCUUGUGCGGGAGGAGAAACAACUCUGCCGAAACGGACACACGCGACGGACCGAGUUGCUUUUCCCAAAAGAUCCUGUUGUCAACAAAUCUAAAGGACAAUGACCAGAACCAAGAAAGCAGAACUUCAUCAGAGGGAGAUGUUUUCUCUUUCAGUGAUGUCUCCAAGUUAACUAUCUUACUAUCAAAUAUCUUUUCCUUAUUUGCAAUAUCAAAAUCUUCACUCCUUACAGUUUGGGUUUAGGCUUGAGGUAUCAUUUAUAAAUAAAAGUGCACAGAGGGAGCAACCAUAUUCAUGUUUCUCUCUCAAUAUUAUGAAAAUAUUACUUUUCAUAUCCUACCACAGGGCAGCGCUCUUGAUCCAUUCUGCUAAAAAAAAUACUGAAAUACACCUACACAGAACUGUUCAUUGCAGUCCAGAUACACUUUUUGAUGCCUUACCCUGACACCAAAUAAAUAAUUUCAAGUCCCUGACAUGACAGAAUCCUUUUUUAUUUGUAAUGUAUUUAAUUUAUUUAUUUAUGAAAUAAUUAAUUCCAGAUGUAGAAUGUAAUGGGUUACUUGAUAUCCAAUUCAUAAAUUCAGCGUGCUGAACAAUCAAUGAGGAUAAUACAAUUCAACCGUUUGUCUUCCAUUAAUUUCAGGACUGAAUUGAAAUAGAGUUGACCCAAACCCCUGGCUAUGAUGUUUUUAUACUGAAGGAAUUCUCUGUAUGUUCUAUCGUGGGGGAAUGGUGCACCUAACUGAAUUACAGUGCCUUCAGGAGGUAUUCACGCCCCUUGACCUUUUCCACAUUUUGUUGUAUUACAACCUGAAUUUAAAAUGGAUUACAUUUAGAUUUUGUGUCACUGGUUAACACACAAUAUCCCAUAAUGUCAAAGUGGAAUUAUGUUUUAGACAUUUUUACAAAUUAAUUAAAAAUUAAAAGCCGAAAUGUCUUAAGUCAAUAAGUAUACAACCCCUUUGUUAUGGCAAGCCUAAAUUAGUUCAGGAGUAAAAAUGUGCUUCACAUGUUACAUAAUAAUAGUGUUUAACACGAUUGUCUACCUCAUCUCUGUACCCCACACAUACAAUUAUCUGUAAGGUCCCUCAGUCGAGCAAUGAUUUUCAAACAGUGAUGUUUUAGAAUGCCUCGCAAAUAAGGGCCUUUAUUCAAAAACAUGCAUCCUGUUUGCAAUAGGUAAAGCUAAGUACAGGCAAAAUCCCAGAGGAAAUCCUGAUUCAGUCUGCUUUCUAAAAUCCCCGGUGAGAUAAAUUCACCUUUUAGCAGUGGAGGAAAAAGUACCUGAUUGUCAUACUUGAGUAAAAGUAAAGCUACCUUAAUAGAAGAUUACUCAAGUAAAAGUGAAAGUCACCCAGUAGAAUACUACAUGAGUAAAAGUCUAAAAGUAUUUGGUUUUAAAAAAUAUACUUAAGUAUUAAAAGUAAAUGUAAAAGUAUAAAUCAUUUCACAUUCUUUAUAUUAAGCAAACCAGACCAGACUAUUUUCUUGUUUUUAUUUUAAUUUACGAAUCGCCAGGGGCACACUCCAACAUAAUUUACAAACAAAGCAUUUGUGUUUCGUGAAUCUGCCAGAUAAGAGGCAGUAGGCAUAACCAGGGAUAUUAUUUUGAAGUGUGUGAAUUUGACCAUUUUCCUGUCCUGCUUCAGCGUUGGAAAUGUAACGAGUACUUUUGGGCGACAGGGAAAAUGUAUGGAGUAAAAAGUACAUUUUUUUUAUUUUGCAAUGUAGUGAAGUAAAAGUAAAAGUAGUCAAAAAUAUAAAUAGUAAAGUACAGAUAACCCCAAAAACUACUUAAAUAGUACUUUAAAAUAUGUUUACUUCAGUACUUUACACCACUGCCUUUUAGCAGGACAAUAACCUAAAAGACAAGGCCAAAUAUACACUGGUGUUGCUUACUAAGAUGACAUUGAAUGUUCCUGAGUGGCCUAGUUACAGCUUUCACUUAAAACAACUUGAAAAUCUAUGAAAAGACUUGAAAAUGGCUAUCUGGCAAUGAUCAACAAUCAACUUGACAGAGCUUGAAGAAUGUUUAAAAGUGCAAAUAUUGUACAAUCCAAGUGUGCAAAGCUCUAAGAGACAUACCCAGAAAGACUCACUGCUGUAAUUGUUGCUAAAGGUGAUUCUAACAUGUAUUUACUAAGGACUGUGAAUACUUAUGUAAAUGAGAUAUUUCUGUAUUUCAUGUUCAAUACAUUUGCAAACAUUUCUAAAAACAUGUUUCACUUUGUCAUUAUGAAGUUGUGUGUAGUGAGAAAAAAAACGAACAAUUUUAUCCAUUUUGAAUUCAGGCUGUAACACAACAAAAUGUGGAAUAAGUCAAGGGGUAUGAAUACUUUCUUGAAGGCACUGUCUAUGUCACAUUUCUCAUUCCUCUUUCCUAAUUUACCCCUUGACCUGCUAAAUGCUCAUUUCCAUCAACCAGUUUCCUCUGACCCACUUGUGUCCAACUGCAACAGAGAGACAAAGAAAGUGUGAGAGAGAGGGUAGACGAAUGAAGGUGAAAACAUCUGGGAGGUUGCUCAUGCCCUUUUUUGUAAAAACUGUUUGAAAAGACCAUUUGAAAUUUCAAGCUGUUUUGGUGAAAUGGGGUUUUAGCCUGCUUGGUGACAUAACCAGGUGGUAUAUUUUUAAUAGACCAUUAAGAAAGAGAGUUCCAAACUUCUUUGCCAAUAACAGCUAGUUUUCCCCUUCCCACUCAGACCACUCCCAGACAGUCGUAGUUAAAUUAUUGCUUGAGAAAUUGCUCUUUGCUUAGAAGCUAUUUUUCUUUCUUUUGACCAUUAAUGUGUUAAUGUGUUACAAUUAAUGUGUUACCCAGAUAUUUCUUUACCAAUAAUGUACUUAAUUGUUACCCAGAAAUGAUUUGAUAUUGAGAUAAAAUCGGCUGCAUUGGACCUUCUAAUGGGCUUUGUGAGUGUGUGUGUGUGCACAUGUGUGUGUGAGAGAAGUGCGUAGGCAGAGGGGUCAUGCCCAUAGGGGGUACAGGGGUAAGUGCACCCUCAGAUUUGUACUGUAAAAAAAAUAUAUAUGUUUUUUUUCUCUGUAAUGCUUCUAGCUACUUAGCAAUUUUAUGAAGUUAGCUAAAUAUGUUCCCAAUCUCCCAACCUCAUAAUUAGCUACCAAGA